GGGGGUCUACUCUAAUUCAACGAAACGAAACUUCGAUAUCGAACGAAAUUCAAACGAAGUUUCGUUAGUGACCCUACUCUAUUUCAUUUUCGGAUGCGCAUACGAAGUUCGGAACCAUAGACAAUUUUCGUGAACGAAUGGAAUCUAUAAUAUUGUGUGGGGCUUUUAUGAUGUCGACUAAACUAAGUUACGGUUUUUACUUUAACUUGAAAUUAUUAAACUUUUCAGCUUUACUUAUUCAUGUAACAUUAUAAAUGUGAUUCAUUACAUAUUUCUUGUAAUAUUCAUGCAAACAAUCUUAACUUUCCGGCAAAAAAUAUUUUUUCAACUACAUUCGACUCGACACUAUAAAAAACCCUUUGACAGUCAUUGCUAACCAACUAAUUUGAAGAGUACUAUUUCAUGCCAAAAAUGGGUAAUCACGUAUGACAACCAAAAAUAGCUGCUUAUUACAAUCUUAUCAAAACAUGUCAACUUACAAUUCUUUGUUUGAAUACUUUGAUAAGUUUUCUGAAGUGUGUUUCUCAAGUGUCGUAUUAAAUAAAUCAUGUUUCCAAGUGCUUUUAUACCAAGGUACGCGUUCCCUAAGGAAGUAUUAUGUCGUACUUUACUACAGUCCGACUUCUACGUAGGUACGUCUGCUGUAUUUUGGUUCGCAACAAGUUUUGUUUUGGAUUUAAAAACUUCGUGAGUAGAUAUCAUAUUAUACAAAUGCAAUAUUUGGUUUCGCUCUAACGCCAUUGCCUUUUCUAAUACUAAUCAUUUAUAUUUUCAGUUUAAAAUGGCUCCACAUAAGGGGUUCGGCAACUCCUCAACAAAUCGAAACCGUUCUCAAUUUCCUGGACGAACAUAGAGAUUAAGCUAGUGGUAGAUUGAAUAGUUGAAUCCAGCCAGGAAGAUAACCUGAGAGUCCAACUGUAAUAGCUGCCUAUGUACCACCACCAUUGACGCAAGAAUGUCUGACUUUCACACCUUCCUCUCGACAUACACACUCAACAAGGAGACGAUCUGCCAGCACAGUGUAAGAAGCAGAUUGUAUCAAUAUGAAGAGGAGGGUGCACAGAGAGAGACGGUGAAAAACGCAGAGCUUGCAGGCAUCAGGGGCGAAUUGGCAGGCAUCAGUGCUACCCUGUUGCAGCUGCAUAACACAAUAAAGGAAUAUGUGGAUAGGAAUUAAGAUUCUGUUAAUGUAUUGUUAGUCAUUAAUUGUGUUUAGUAUUUCUUUGUUAUUAAUUUGUUAUGUUUAAACAGGGUAAUAGUAAAUAAAACUUUAAGUAGGUAUAUAA
rnacentral:lncRNA from 1 species